rnacentral:rRNA from 1 species
CCUACGGGAGGCAGCAGUGGGGAAUAUUGCACAAUGGGGGAAACCCUGAUGCAGCGACGCCGCGUGCGGGAUGACGGCCUUCGGGUUGUAAACCGCUUUCAGCACCGACGAAGUUGACGGUAGGUGCAGAAGAAGCGCCGGCUAACUACGUGCCAGCAGCCGCGGUAAUACGUAGGGCGCAAGCGUUGUCCGGAAUUAUUGGGCGUAAAGAGCUCGUAGGCGGCUUGUCGCGUCGGAUGUGAAAGCCCAUGGCUUAACUGUGGGUCUGCAUCCGAUACGGGCAGGCUAGAGGCAGGUAGGGGAGAACGGAAUUCCCGGUGUAGCGGUGAAAUGCGCAGAUAUCGGGAGGAACACCGGUGGCGAAGGCGGUUCUCUGGGCCUGUACUGACGCUGAGGAGCGAAAGCGUGGGGAGCGAACAGGAUUAGAUACCCGAGUAGUC